AGAAGCAGUGGGAACAUUGCCAGUUGGCUGAGAAACCAGAGCCAAAGAGCUGGGAGAGCCGCCAGGACGUGGAGGGGGCUGGGUGAUCUUCGGGGCCUGGAAAAGCCGGUCCCUGGAGCUUGGAGCACAAGGAGGGAGACACCAGACUGGCCUCAUUCCUCAGGAGGAGACAGACAGACAGCACCCACUGUAUCAGAUGGCAAGAUGUGUGCCAGCCAAGACAGGUGCACAGAGGACACGCGCUCAUCCUGCCAGCUCCACUCAGAUGGAUGGCAAGGACUGGUUACAGGGACUGUCAUUCCAGCGACCUUCCUGGGGACACAGGGUGAACCGGAGUCUCAGACCCCUCCCCCAAAUCUCCCAAACCCUCCCGCUGACCCUGCCUCUCUGCUUGCUGUGUGAUUCUGAGCAAGAGGCUUGACCUCUCUGUUCUGGGCUAUAAAAUGGGGAGAGUGAGAUUAGUUCAAUAAGCCUCACGGGGCUGAUAAAAGCAUAGAGUUGAUGUGCAAAUGCCUUAAAAAUGCAUUGCCUAAAUGGGAAGAGACACUCCUUUAGAUUACU